UACGUAGGGUGCAAGCGUUGUCCGGAAUUAUUGGGCGUAAAGGGCGCGUAGGCGGCCUGUUAAGUCGAACGUGAAAUCCCCGGGCUCAACCCGGGAACUGCGUCCGAUACUGGCAGGCUUGAAUCCGGGAGAGGGAUGCGGAAUUCCAGGUGUAGCGGUGAAAUGCGUAGAUAUCUGGAGGAACACCGGUGGCGAAGGCGGCAUCCUGGACCGGUAUUGACGCUGAGGCGCGAAAGCUAGGGGAGCAAACGGG
rnacentral:rRNA from 1 species